AACUUAGAAGAGUUGAUAAAAACUUUAAAAAGUGAUGUUUUAGAAAAGGUGAAAGUGUGAAAAGAAACAAGAACAAUAAGUCACCUUUGAAAUUAUGGAGCUAGUAAAAAGAAAAAAAAAAAAGAGAGCUCAUGGUUGUGUUGUUGUUGAAAAAUAAGAAAAGAAGAAAAAUUGGGAUCAAAAAUAGAAUUUGUUGUUGAGUUUGAAUUUAUGGGAAUGCUCCCUUGGGAUA
rnacentral:lncRNA from 1 species